rnacentral:lncRNA from 1 species
AAAAUAACAUAUGUUUUAAACCCUUAGGAGGUUGUCUAGACAUGCCAUAUUCAGCCUGGGCUUUUUGACUUUUUUAGCCCCCACAUCCUUGGGGGUGAGAUAAAUACGUAUUUGAAAGGCUUGUGUGGUAAUAAAAUUGAAAGUGCCUAGCCCAAUUGAAGAAACGCACCCAAUCCUAAACAAACUCACACACACUUUUUCUGGUUUCAAAAGCCUCCCAUGCAGAGACACACCCCCCUUUUUGUUUUGAAACACACACACACCUACACUCACGCACACACCCCCCAGCGCACGCACACGUCAUUCCGGAAUCCUUUUUUCUCCGGGCCAUGCCUGGGGAUAGCUCGAAAAUGCACAGCCCCUCCGUUAACGAUAACGGGCCCGGUUAUAGGGUUGUCGCUGACCCCAAUCGCUGUCUGUGUCCAAUUCCCCAGCAUCAAGACUUCGAUGUCCUGACCGGAUGCCCUUAUUUGGGCAUGUACGCCCCAUCCGGACAUAGGGUCAUAAAUCACGAUUUUGACCGUUGCCGUCUACUUUAUUCUCUCUGGUGUCCCCCAUUCCCCGGACCACUUACCUAGUGAGAAAGAGCAAGACUGCAGAUGUCCAACAGUAGGGUCAUGUUCAACCACACGGGAUGAGAACAGCUCUGCUAUCCAUAAUGGCUUCAAUAGUCAGCCCAGCAAAGCGGUUUCCCAUUCCCCUGCUUCAGUAAGACCCAAGCAAAGAGGAGGAGACCGAUAGUAGCGGAAAGUGACAAAGACUCACCUGGACUCCCUACAGCAUCAUGGCCAUCAUUGGCACCUUCUGCAUUCCCAACACAGUUUGGACCAUGGGCUUCUGGCUGUGUAAUAUCAAUAGCACCAUUAACCCAGCAUGUUACACACUCAAAGACCUUUAAGAAUCUGCUGCGGUGUCACAAGUGUUUGACUGAGGAUUUUUUUUUAUGUAAACUUUAUUUAACUAGGAAAGUCAGUUAAGAACUCAUUCUUAUUUACAAUGACAGCCUACCGGGGAACAGUGGGUUAACUGCCUUGUUCAGGGGCAGAACAACAGAUCUUUACCUUGUCAGCUCGGGGAUUUGAUCCAGCAACCUUUUGGUUACCAGCCCAACACUCUAACCACUAGGCUACCUACUGCCCCCAUUAUAACACUUUGCAGAAUAUUUCAUUAUUUGAGGAAGACAGAAAUGGACUACUGGUGUAAUUGUCAAUUUGUAAAAUAGUAUUUUAUAGAACAUAUUAUAUUAUAGAAAAUCAUACAAAACUAAUCAAAGCAGCACAUUAGUUUCAUUUAUUGUCCUUUUCCAAGUUAUCUCAUAUAUUGAUGUGCAAACUAAGCAAACUUUUCUACUCACUGUAUAUUGUUGUUGUUAAAAUAAUGUGCUUAAUUUUUCUGAUAAUAAUUCUGUCUGCCUUCUGCUUAUGUCUGUGAUAAUGUAAUAUUGUACCUACAAUGUACUGUCAUUUCCUAAAAUACACUAAGUAAAAAAAAUGUAAUUACUGACACUAGAUUUUUUUAUGUUCACUG